ensembl:miRNA
AUGGACUGUCACCUGAGGAGCCUAAUAGGCAACAGUCCCUCAGGCAACAGUCCAAAA